rnacentral:rRNA from 1 species
UACGUAGGGUGCGAGCGUUGUCCGGAAUUAUUGGGCGUAAAGAGCUCGUAGGCGGUCUGUCGCGUCUGCUGUGAAAACCCGGGGCUCAACUCCGGGCUUGCAGUGGAUACGGGCAGACUAGAGUUCGGUAGGGGAGACUGGAAUUCCUGGUGUAGCGGUGAAAUGCGCAGAUAUCAGGAGGAACACCGGUGGCGAAGGCGGGUCUCUGGGCCGGAACUGACGCUGAGGAGCGAAAGCAUGGGGAGCGAACAGG